CCGAAUCCUCUGCCUUCGGGAGGCAGAGAGUCUCUACCUCCCGCAAUAUCAUUGGUCCAUCUCACCGCGCCUGCCACGUAGGACUAGCAAAUCCGUUUCCGUUUCAUAUUAAAAAAAAAAAAAAAAAUCUCUCUGCCGUCUUCCCUAAUGGCAACGGCACCAUGAAAAAAUCUCUCCGUCGUCCUCCCUAACGGCAACGGCACCAUGAACGGCACUUUCCAUUUCCGGUUCGCGGUGAUUUUUUAGAGAUUUCUUCUCCCCUUGUUUCUAAUUUCAAUUUCUUUCCUUUUACAGAUGGAUUUCAUCAAAGUGGAAGAAAAAGAGAGGUUUUUUUUUUGAAGAUCGGAGGCCCUCUUUCCCCAAUCUCUCACAAUCCCUCUUGCCCAUUUUCCCUCAGGCAGCCGAUAGCCGAUUUCUGCUAUUUCGUCUAUUCAUCCAUCGAAGAUCCACCCCACCUCACAGGCUCGUCGGUUGAUGACAAUUCGCAUGGAGUAUAAUGGCUAUAUGGAGCUCUUUCUGCUAAUAUGUGGUUGGGGAUGAUCUCCUCAGGAGUUUUUUUAUUUUCUUUUUUUCUUUUUUUUUAAGGUCCAAUGAAUGCAAUUGUUGCAUGGUAGCCUAUUAAAAAUAACAAUUUAGAUUGUUCAAUUGGAGUAUCCAAGUUAUGGAUUGGAUCAUCCUAUCAAUAUAGGCUUCUAUUUUUUUUU